rnacentral:rRNA from 1 species
UACGAAGGGGGCUAGCGUUGCUCGGAUUUACUGGGCGUAAAGGGCGCGUAGGCGGACGAUCAAGUUGGGGGUGAAAGCCCGGGGCUCAACCUCGGAAUUGCCUUCAAAACUGAUCGUCUUGAGUAUGAGAGAGGUGUGUGGAACUCCGAGUGUAGAGGUGAAAUUCGUAGAUAUUCGGAAGAACACCAGUGGCGAAGGCGACAUACUGGCUCAUUACUGACGCUGAGGCUCGAAAGCGUGGGGAGCAAACAGG